UCGGUCCCUAUCUGCCGUGGGCGCUGGAGAACUGAGGGGGGCUGCUCCUAGUACGAGAGGACCGGAGUGGACGCAUCACUGGUGUUCGGGUUGUCAUGCCAAUGGCACUGCCCGGUAGCUAAAUGCGGAAGAGAUAAGUGCUGAAAGCAUCUAAGCACGAAACUUGCCCCGAGAUGAGUUCUCCCUGAGACUUAGAGUCUCCUGAAGGAACGUUGAAGACGACGACGUUGAUAGGCCGGGUGUGUAAGCGCAGCGAUGCGUUGAGCUAACCGGUACUAAUGAACCGUGAGGCUUAACCUUACAACGCCGAAG
rnacentral:rRNA from 1 species